rnacentral:misc_RNA from 1 species
GUGAAUCAUCGAAUUUUUGAACGCAAAUUGCACUUUCUGGUAUUCCGGAAAGUAUGCCUGUUUGAGGGUCAGUUAAAUAAAAAUGGUGGUUUUGCUGGCCUUUGUGGUGACGCGUCGGGAUUGGGUCGGCUUUACUUUGGUUUAAGGGCUUAAAAAUUUUUGCUGAUUUUUGGACGGAUUUUAAACGCUUUAGGUCGUUUGAGAU